AUGGUUGAGUAAUUUGCUGUUCUCUGUAUCGCCAUUUUGAAAGCGGUUUACAUUUCAGCUGGACGCCUUUAAAGCAAAUUUUUUUCUCCGCAGAAGUGUAUCCUGUUUUCCAAUAAAUCGGUUCUAGGAAUCGUAGAAACAUCAAAUUUAAUGAUGGGGAAAGGGUACCGUUUGGAUGACGCCGGUUCCAUUCCGUUUGAAACACCAACAAAAUUGACAAGGACGAGGACUCAUUCACCGGUCCAACGCUACAAAAAGAAAUGGUUUCAAACAAGUUCAAAAGGGAUCGUUUUUCUCACCAUCCGGAAGAAUCUGGAACGGGCCGGAAUGUUCGAAAAAAUCUCCCACCGGGCGUGGAUGAAUGGAUCCCCCUCUCGUUAACGGAUUGCAAACUAUUAAUUAUGGCAUUGGCCAUCCGCAGCGCUCGUUGGGGGAACUUCUCUACCGGGUGAUUUGGCUGCUUUUAGUAUUUGCCCAAACUGCAAUAUUAUAGUAAAAGGCAAACAAAACAUUAUAAUGGGCUAUAAUUUAUUAGUGUAACGUAAAAGAAAUGGAAUAAAUAUUCUGACAAUUCUUUUUCCCAAA